UAUGUGAAACCCAUUCAAAAAUGACGCUGUUCUACUCAUACAACUAAAGAAAAGCUCUGAACAAGAGCUUUUUGUUUGUUGAAAUCAAAGAGAGAGAGUGAUGCUCUUUGUUUGCAGAAAUCAAAGAGAGAGAGCGUGAGAGAGGGGCUUUCGAGUGAAACUCCAUCCAUUGCCGAGAGUGCAGGUGAACCAGCGGAGGGCAGGCGACAUCUCCCGGUAUUCCAGCAGCAACGAACGGCAGCAGUAGCAGCUAGAAAAUGAGGGAAAACGGAGGCCACUGCGACUUUGAAGCCGGACUCCAACGAUUCCAACCUCCGAUGGGAUUUUGAAGAAAACAUCUCUGCUACGCUCAAUGCCAAUAACCACAUUUAAACGCGUUUAACUACGCAAAGGAAAUAAAAAGAUUUGUGCAUAAUUUAUGCAAUGGUCGCAGUUUUGGAGGUCAGAUGUCGUCUAAAAUUAGCAAAAUUAAAUGACUGUUAUCCUAUAAGGUUAUCUAUCCAGCACAUUUUGGAUAAUCUAAAAGUAUCAGUUUAUGGUCAGAUCCUACCGGAUUUAAUCUCUCAGCUAAGUGAUAUAGGUGUUGCAAUGCAAGAACUCUAUCCUUUCAAUGAUGAUAUUAAAAGAAGUGUUCCGGCUCCCUACAAUACAAUCUAAUUAGCAAUCUUUUGCUUUAAUUAAUUUCUUUUUUUUAAUUAAUUUAUUUCAUCUCUAAUUGUUAUUAUAUGGAUAUGGCAGGGUCCCGUGGUUAAACUUGUUGCAUAUGACUUGAUUUUUCCAAAAAAUUUAUUAGAAAGUUCAAGCUCAAUUGAUAAAAUAAUCAAAGAUAUAUUUAGAAGUGGCCCUAUCAUUGAGCUUUUGGAUUGCGUACCGAUUAUGAUGAGGAUGGAAAACAAGAAAUCUACUAGGAAAGGGAAGUGAUCAAAUUCAUGAGGACACAAAACUCAAAAGGGGCCAUUGCGUAACCAUUACCGGCAUAUCCUGGGUGGACGAUCAAUUGAUUUGUGAGUACGUAAAUAAUUGGGGGAAGGAUUUUGGCCACCGAGGAUACUCUAAGUCUCCUAUGUGUUCUAUUUGUCACUUAUCCUCUGAAUCCUUGGAGCAUAUGUUGAGAAAAGCAUACAGAUGGCUUUGAAGCAGAGGAAAGGAAGUUCAAAGAGCCCCUCCUCUCUCCCGUAAACA